rnacentral:rRNA from 1 species
GACGAACGCUGGUGGCGUGCCUAAUACAUGCAAGUCGAGCGGACCAAUAGAAGCUUGCUUCUGUUGGUUAGCGGCGGACGGGUGAGUAACACGUGGGCAACCUGCCUGUAAGACUGGGAUAACUUCGGGAAACCGGAGCUAAUACCGGAUAAUUCAUCCUCUCGCAUGAGGGGAUGCUGAAAGUCGGUUUACGCUGACACUUACAGAUGGGCCCGCGGCGCAUUAGCUAGUUGGUGAGGUAAUGGCUCACAAAGGCGACGAUGCGUAGCCGACCUGAGAGGGUGAUCGGCCACACUGGGACUGAGACACGGCCCAGACUCCUACGGGAGGCAGCAGUAGGGAAUCUUCCACAAUGGACGAAAGUCUGAUGGAGCAACGCCGCGUGAGCGAUGAAGGCCUUCGGGUCGUAAAGCUCUGUUGUUAGGGAAGAACAAGUAUCGGAGUAACUGCCGGUACCUUGACGGUACCUAACCAGAAAGCCACGGCUAACUACGUGCCAGCAGCCGCCGCCG